CACGAAGUUAGCCGGGGCUUCUUCUCCCGCUACCGUCAUCAUCGUCGCGGGCGAAAGAGCUUUACAACCCUAAGGCCUUCCUCACUCACGCGGCAUUGCUGGAUCAGGCUUGCGCCCAUUGUCCAAUAUUCCCCA
rnacentral:rRNA from 1 species